AGGUACAAAUACAAUACCAAACAUGCCCUGGAGUAGAAUCUCAUAGUUCAGCAAGUGAAACCGAGCGAGCGCUCGGUCGGAGCGUACUAUUCCAGCCGAAAGCUUACAACCGCUGGGCACCAUAAGCAAGGUGCAUACAAAAGGGCCCCAAGCCACAAGAGCCUGAAAAUCCUGGAGCUCCUUUUUACUGCUGAAUAAUCAAAAUCCAAUAUACAAAGAUUCUAUUUAGUUGCAUCUUUAUUCAUUCCUAGAUUCACCAAAACCCCACUGCAAAACCCUUCGUUUAUUUGUAUUUUUAUUUUUUUUAUUUCCUAAGUUCUCUCCGGUUGGAAAUGGAUUUCCAAGUGGUGGUUUUAGCUGGUGGCAAUUCGAAGAGUCUAACUCCCCUUGUUUCCAAGGACGUGCCUAAACCGCUGCUUCCGGUAGCCAACCACCCUGUUCUUUACUACGUUCUGCACCAAUUGGAAGAGAGCAACCUCAAAGAUCUCAUUGUUGUGGUUGAAGGAGAAGAUGCUGGGCUUCUUGUUGGUGCUUGGAUUUCUGGGACAUUCGUUGAUCGUCUACAUGUUGAGAUUGCUGCAGUCCCUGAGGAUAUUGGAACGGCUGGGGCACUUAGGGCAAUCUCACACUACCUCACUGCAAAAGACAUUUUGGUUGUGAGUGGUGAUCUUGUUUCUGAUGUUUCUCCUGGUGCAGUUGCUGCCACCCACAGGCGACAUGAUGCUGUAGUGACUGCAACACUUUGCUGUGUUCCCAUUAGUGGGUCUUCAGAAUCAGGGUCCUCUGGUGGGAAAGACAAAACCAAAAAACCAGGACGAUACAACAUCAUUGGACUGGACCCUCGCAAACAGUUUUUAUUACACAUAGCAACAGGAGCAGAAAUUGAGAAAGAUACACGACUUCAGAAGCACCUUCUCCAUGCAGUAGGCCAGAUGGAAAUUCGAUCUGAUCUGAUGGAUGCACACAUGUAUGCAUUCAAGAGGUCUGUCCUGCAAGAAGUUUUAGACCGAAAGGAUACUUUUCAAAGCUUGAAACAGGAUGUAGUUCCUUAUCUUGUCCGGAGCCAGUUGAAAUCUGAGGCUGUAUUAAGUGGAAUUCGACAAGCAGAGGAAGAUGGUAACGAGAAGGUUAGUUUCCCAAACAAUCAAGUAAUGGUCUCUCAAAUCCUUGCUAAUGCAUCUACCCCAAGCUUUCAUGAACUCUAUUCUAUGGAUCCUGAUGGUUCUGCCCAAACUCGGAAAACCCAUAAAUGUUGUGCUUAUAUUGCAAGCAGCAGCAGUUAUUGUGUUCGCUUAAAUUCCAUUCAAGCAUUCAUGGAUAUCAAUCGAGAUGUCACUGGUGAGGCAGAUCAUCUGCUAAGUGAUAAUGUUAUAGGCCCUUCACCUAAGCUUGGAACCAAAACUACUGUCGGACCACACUGUAUGCUGGGGGAAGGUUCAGAAAUGGGUGAUAAAUGCCAAGUAAAACGAUCUGUAAUUGGCCGUCACUGCCGGAUAGGCUCCCAUGUAAAGGUUGUCAAUUCAGUUGUAAUGAAUCAUGUUACCAUUGGCGAUGGCUGUAUAAUUCAAGGUUCCGUGAUUUGCAGCAAUGUACAACUUCAAGAGCGUGUUGUAUUGAAGGAUUGCCAAGUUGGGGCAGGCUUUGUAGUUACCGCUGGAAGUGAGUAUAAAGGAGAAUCUUUGGCUAGAAAAGAGAAAUGAGUGAAGGCAAUUGUAUCCCAGAAAAAAAACGCGAGGCUUGGCCCAUCUCAUUUUAAUGUUGUUUUUCGGACAUGCUUCUAUGGAACCGCUGGCACUGGUAAAAUGUGAUCCUUGGCAAGUGAAGCAAGGACAUUGCAACAGAGGGGGAUCAAUCAUAUCCUGGCAAAGUCCAUCGAUUUCUUUCCGUCAUGUUUCUUGCUGAAAAAAUAUUUGAAGUAAUCUGAGAAGACAACUUCCUUAUACAAUGGUUGCUCCCCACUUUCUAGCACUUCCGGCAGAGGACCGAAAACAGCAUCUGGUCCUGGAUUCACAAAAAUAGGCACUGAAACUCUGUCCUUGCUUCUAUUGGCAACCACCCGGUGUUCAAUGCUUUUGUAUCUGUCGUUGCUCAUUAUUUGUAGAAUGUCUCCAAUGUUGAUUACGAGAGCCCCAUUGAUUGGCAGAACAUGAAUCCAGCUAUCAUUUUCAGUUGCUCGAACAUAAAGGCCGCCAUUAUCGUCUUGGAGGAGAACAGUGAGUGUUGAUAUAUCAGAGUGAGGCUGUACUCCUGCUGUGAAGUCUGGGUUCGGGCAAUGCGGAUAGUACAUUAAGUUAACUAUCGGCGAACCCAUUAAUGUAUAUUCUCUAGCUUUAUCUAUUUGUUUCACCUUCAGGCCCUCCAGGAGGACCUCCAGCAGCUUCCGUAUCACAGACUUUGCACUCUCCAUGUAUUCCACCACUUCAUCCCUGUAAACAGUCAUGAGGCAAUUGUAAAUAUGGAUGCUAUUUUGCAGUUCGAGGUUUUUUUUCAA